rnacentral:rRNA from 1 species
CAGUCGCCACGGGAACACGUAGGGUGCGAGCGUUAAUCGGAAUUACUGGGCGUAAAGCGUGCGCAGGCGGUUAUAUAAGACAGAUGUGAAAUCCCCGGGCUCAACCUGGGACCUGCAUUUGUGACUGUAUAGCUAGAGUGCGGUAGAGGGGGAUGGAAUUCCGCGUGUAGCAGUGAUAUGCGUAGAUAUGCGGAGGAACACCGAUGGCGAAGGCAAUCCCCUGGACCUGUACUGACGCUCAUGCACGAAAGCGUGGGGAGCAAACAGGAUUAGAUACCCCAGUAGUCCCUGUCUCUUAUAA